rnacentral:rRNA from 1 species
UACGGAGGGGGACUAGCGUUGUUCGGAAUUACUGGGCGUAAAAGCGCACGUAGGCGGAUUUGUAAAGUCAGGGGUGAAAUCCCGGGGCUCAACCUCGGAACUGCCUUUGAUACUGCAAAUCUCGAGUCCGGAAGAGGUGAGUGGAAUUCCUAGUGUAGAGGUGAAAUUCGUAGAUAUUAGGAAGAACACCAGUGGCGAAGGCGGCUCACUGGUCCGGUACUGACGCUGAGGUGCGAAAAGCGUGGGGAGCAAACAGG